AUCCAGCUGACGAGUCCCAAAUAGGACGAAACGCAUGUCAUGGAU
rnacentral:hammerhead_ribozyme from 1 species